UCUGCUUCGGCCUCUGCCUCUGCCGCGAGUCUGCAGAAGUACAAAUGUAAAAUUUGAAUAGAACCACUGAGCUACAGAUGUCCUACUGCGUACCGGGUAUAAAAGUUGUGACGCGUAAGAAGCGUCUCACACGUCCCUUCUCG